AUGUAGAGGGCAAAAGCGCCUA
rnacentral:siRNA from 1 species